UACGUAGGGUGCGAGCGUUGUCCGGAAUUAUUGGGCGUAAAGAGCUCGUAGGCGGUCUGUCGCGUCGGUCGUGAAAACUUGGGGCUUAACCCUGAGCUUGCGGUCGAUACGGGCAUGACUGGAGUUCGGCAGGGGAGACUGGAAUUCCUGGUGUAGCGGUGAAAUGCGCAGAUAUCGGGAGGAACACCAGUGGCGAAGGCGAUCUUCUGGACGGAUACGUGACGCUGAGGCGCGAAAGCUAGGGGAGCAACGGGG
rnacentral:rRNA from 1 species